UAAUAAUACACACAGAUAAAAUAGUAAUUUUUGUAUUAAGUGCGCGAAAUGAGUGUUUUUUUAAUGGCGCCUGAGAAUGUUAUUUUAGUCGAGACCGCCAGGUCGAGACCUAAAAGACAUUCGAAGGCGCCAUUAAAACAUGAAUUUCGCCACGAAAUACAAACAACGUUUUUUCUACAGCCUCCAGAUGAAGAAAAAAGUAACAGAAAUUAGUUGGAACAAAAUGGUCUGAUAAAUCGAGUUGCUUGCAUGGUUACGAUGAUAAAUAAAAGUGAUAGUUGCGAAAAAUUUGUCACAAUAGGUAUUUUUGUUGAAGAAGUGUGAUGGAUUUUAGCAGCGAAAACGAAAUAGAUGCAAUUGCAAGCGCGGCAGUGUCGAAUCUUUUGCCUGCUAAAUCAAGACCGCAGUACGAAAAAACGUAUCUUCAGUUUCGGCAGUGGUGUUCUAUGAAAAAGAUUGAUCAAGUAACGGAAAAUGUUUUGUUGGCGUAUUUGGAAGAAAAGUCUACCACCUUAAAGCCACCAACACUCUGGGCCCUUUAUGCGAUGUUGAAAGCCACCUUAAACGUUAAAGAGAAUAUCGAUACACAAGCAAGAAGUCGCAAAUUUUAGACAAAGAAGACAUUAGCAAGUUUAUUAAUGAAGCAGAUGACAAGAUAUAUUUACUGAUGAAGACUGUGCUAAUUUUGGGUAUAUCGGGAGCCCUUCGACGUGAAGAAUUAGUUAAAAUGAAGCUAACUGACAUAGAAGAUAAACAGUCUGUCUUAAUUGUGAAGGUGCCUGAUACAAAAACCCACUGCGAACGAAUAUUUACUGUUUCAAAUUUAGAAAAUAUAGAAAUUGUCAGAAAAUAUAGAGCUUUGCGGCCUCCACGGGCGACUAGUGACCGUUUAUUUUUAAAGUAUACCAACGGAAAAUGUGUGAAUCAAAAUGUUGGAAUUAACAAAAUCGGAGAGAUACCAAGUUUGAUUGCAAAGUGGCUUAACAAAGACGAACCUAAAAAAUAUACUGGUCACUGCUUCAGAAGAAGCUCUGCCACUCUUUUGGCGAAUGCUGGAGGUGAUCUAAUUUCAAUUAAACGUCAUGGGGGCUGGAGAAGCAGCACAGUGGCAGAAAGUUACAUCGAGGACUCUUUGAAUAAUAAAAUUGAAAUUGCCAAUAAAAUUCAACCUUCUUCCUCCACAGAAGAAAACAAAAUCACUCAACCUUCUACAUCGGCUUCUUUUAAUGGCGAAAAUAACUUUCAUUUACAAGCGUCUUCACUCAGGCCUCUGGGGAUAAACGGGGGCACGUUUUCGUCAUGCACAUUUAAUUUUCAUAUGUCAAAGUAAAUAUCUAUUAUUAUUGUUUUGUAAUAUUGUUCUGUAUAAUUAUAAAACCUUUAAAACUA